GUUCCUGUAGUUAAAAGUUGAUAACGACGAUUUUUCAGGUCGUAGAUCUCGGAUGAAGGCCGAGUGGGAAUU
rnacentral:tRNA from 2 species